rnacentral:rRNA from 1 species
UGAUCCUGGCUCAGAACGAACGCUGGCGGCAGGCUUAACACAUGCAAGUCGAGCGCUCACUUCGGUGGGAGCGGCAGACGGGUGAGUAACGCGUGGGAAUCUACCUAGCUCUACGGAAUAGCUUCGGGAAACUGGAAUUAAUACCGUAUACGCCCUCCGGGGGAAAGAUUUAUCGGAGUUAGAUGAGCCCGCGUUAGAUUAGCUAGUUGGUGGGGUAAUGGCCUACCAAGGCGACGAUCUAUAGCUGGUCUGAGAGGAUGAUCAGCCACACUGGGACUGAGACACGGCCCAGACUCCUACGGGAGGCAGCAGUGGGGAAUAUUGGACAAUGGGCGAAAGCCUGAUCCAGCCAUGCCGCGUGUGUGAUGAAGGCCUUAGGGUUGUAAAGCAUUUUCAACGGGGAAGAUAAUGACGGUACCCGUAGAAGAAGCCCCGGCUAACUUCGUGCCAGCAGCCGCGGUAAUACGAAGGGGGCUAGCGUUGUUCGGAAUUACUGGGCGUAAAGCGCGCGUAGGCGGAUUGAUCAGUUAGGGGUGAAAUCCCAAGGCUCAACCUUGGAACUGCCUCUAAUACUGUCAAUCUAGAGUUCUAGAGAGGUGAGUGGAAUUCCGAGUGUAGAGGUGAAAUUCGUAGAUAUUCGGAGGAACACCAGUGGCGAAGGCGGCUCACUGGCUAGAUACUGACGCUGAGGUGCGAAAGUGUGGGGAGCAAACAGGAUUAGAUACCCUGGUAGU